CGCUAAGUGUGGAUCAUUCCUUGCUCUAAGAUACGUUGCAUUUUCCAGCUUGACCCAACGCAUUGGGCCUCAGUGCGCGGAAAGUGAUUGGCGAGUAGUCUCGCGUCUAGUGAAUUUCAGAGCCUACAUUAUCACCGCAUUGCGUGGCCACACAUAACCUACUCCAAUCGGGCGAUCAGCGGAGCUCAACAGCACGGUCUCCAAUAGUGCGGCAAGUAGCAUGCGGACGAGUACGACCGGGAGCAACUCUGUUGGUGAGUUCUUAUUGUUACUAUGCUAGAAACGAGAAUUAACAGUUGCGUUUCUCGCAGAUCGUCCAUGCGUCCAACAGAACGACCUCUACGAUCGAUAAUCCGAUUGUCUGUGGGAGCG